AAGCGCCCAGUAUGUUCCUAACGGAUCGUCCCGCAGCUGCCGGGCUCGGCCCCUAUUUAGACAGCUGCCGCGCAUCGCGCGCCCCGGAGCUGCCGGGGACCGAGCAGCACAACGCAGCUUUCCGGGGGAAUCGGCUCUGCGCGCAGCAGAUCAGAGCGGUGGAUAAGCUCACCGCCCUGCGCCGGGUGUAUGAUUUCAUCGACCUUCGGCAGCGCCUCGCCUCCAUGGAGACUGCACUCCUCGCUCCUGAGCCCCGCCGGGGUACUUCAGGGUUCGUGCUCCUGGAUCUCAGAAAGGCACAUCUGUACAGGGCACGUUGCACCGUGGGACACGUGGGAGCUGGGAGAGAGGACUGCAAAGUGAAGACUCCAUUGGUGGCCACGGCCAUUUUGGGAGGAUGUGAGCACAGCCAGGUGGGACCUGUUGGAAAUGAGGGAAAACCAACCCAGUGUGGCGGGUUUGUGAGAAUGCGAGUGAGAGCACAGCAGCAUAAGGACUAUUAAUAGGAUUUACACAGAUUAGUAAACUAAUCUGUGCAUUUCAGAUUGGAUUUCUCAUUAUGGAGAAGAAAAUUAAUCCACAUAGCAUGCAGACUCGCCAGGCAGUGCAGUGAGAGUGUGAGGGUGAUGGCCGUGUAUCUCUGCUGGUGACUGAGCAUUGCACCGUGCCCUCCUGCACCCAGGCCAGCACUGAGAAUGGCUUGGGUUGGAAGGGACCUCAAAGACCAUCUAUUUCCAACCCCCCAGCUCAGUGACAUUUACCUUCAGGUCUCUGCUUGGGAGAAUGAAUGCUUUGGAGUGCUCAUGGAGCAGGGUUCGAAGCGUUCCCUGGCACAAAACAUGCGCUGAACGUUUCAUUUCCCACCACCGCUGGGGUUGGUCUCAUCUCCCUUAUCAGCAGUAACUCCACUGAGCACCAUUUGUCACCACUGGGAGCCAUUUGCUCGUGGUAAACUGAUUUAAGGACAGGCACAGGAUGCUGCAGGGAUCCUGCCUGCUUUGUCUGGGGCUGUGACUGAGAAUUUGCUUGAACUGCUUAAAAACAGAGUGAGCCUUAGGUUCGAAGAAGCACAUUUGCCUUUUGCUUUGUAUUUAUUAAAUGCAAUAUAC
rnacentral:lncRNA from 7 species